ACAAAGGGGAAGUCCCCCAACAAAGCAAAAAAGAACGCGACUACCGAGAGCUAUAAGGAAGUUUCUUCCACUCGAAUGCGGAGGAGCAAUAGCCGUGUGCACUUAUAAACAUGCGCAGCGCUGUCGUAUGUUACGCUCCUCGUGUCGAGCUAUACACAAACGAUGGUGUCACCGUGCACGCGGCUUGUUGACACGCGACUGUGGUGUUCUAAAGCUCGAUCGUCGCAUCUGUGGCAUUAGUGGAUAGGAAGGACCACGCGCGUCGCCAGCAGGCCAGACGUAAUGUAAACAGCGACUGCUUGUGCGGCGAGCGUGUAGCGACGACAGUAAUGCUCGACAUCGGCUGACGCCCGAGGACCCAGCGACGACAACACAACACAGAUAAACGGAGUAGCCUAUCGAGGUGCUCUUUACUUCAAUCUCUCCACGACAAUCGAGGCGCGCGAAAUGACUGGAGGGACCGAAAUCACCACUGGCCUCGACAUUUCGACUCUGAGCAGCAGCGGUUACAGACAGACUACGCACACACAGAUCACGCGAGCGGAAUGCCGCGAAGUACAGUGCGUUCGAAGCACCCGCGACUUGGCGCGCCUAGUAAUCAUGCCGUGAUCGAGUGCUCCCAAGACCACGGGCGGAUGACGAGGCACAGAGGAGGCUAAGCGCAGGAAGACUUGCUAUCGGGUUCUUCCCAUCGCUUCACGCAAAGAACAGCGGUGUCAAAUGCCACCAAUGGAACAGGACACUUUCCGCGUGUCCGCACAGUCUGAUUUUUGUGUGUGUGUGUGCUUUUAUUUCGUAAAAAUUCUUGCUCCCGUAUCGUGCUUUCCCCCAUAAUGAACAAGUGCUAGGCAUUGAAAUAUAAGUGAACUCUCAGCGGCAUUAGUUAUUAAUAUGUUUCAUCAUUUUCUUUUUGAUAACGAGAGCAUUAGAUCAAA